AUUGAACGCUGGCGGCAGGCCUAACACAUGCAAGUCGAACGAGUGGCGGACGGGUGAGUCAUGUCUGGGAAACUGCCCGAUGGAGGGGGCUAACUACUGGAAACGGUCGCUAAUACCGCAUCCCAUCGGCUGUGCCAAGAUUGGAUUAGCUAGUAGGUGGGGUAACGGCUCACCUAGGCGACGAUCCCUAUCGUGUCUGAGAGGAUGACCAGCCACACUGUGACGGAGACACGGGCCAGACUCCUACGGGAGGCAGCAGUGGGGAAGAUUGCACAAUGGGAGCAAGCCUGAUGCAGCCAUGCCGCGUGUAUGAAGAAGGCCUUCGGGUUGUAAAGUACUUUCAGCGAGGAGGCGUUACUCGCAGAAGAAGCACCGGCUAACUCCGUGCCAGCAGCCGCGGUAAUAC
rnacentral:rRNA from 1 species